ACUCAAUAGAUACCCAGGUAGUCCACGCCCUAAACGAUGUCUACUAGUUGUCGGGUCUUAAUUGACUUGGUAAACGCAGCUAAACGCGUGAAGUAGACCGCCUGGGGAGUACGGUCGCAAGAUUAAAACUCAAAGGAAUUGACGGGGACCCGCACAAGCGGUGGAUGAUGUGGAUUAAAUUCGAUGCAACGCGAAAAACCUUACCUACCCUUGACAUGGAAGGAAUCCCUGAGAGAUUGGGGAGUGCUCGAAAGAGAACCUUUACACAGGUGCUGCAUGGCUGUCGUCAGCUCGUGUCGUGAGAUGUUGGGUUAAGUCCCGCAAGGAGCGCAACCCUUGUCAUUAGUUGCUACGAAAGGGCACUCUAAUGAGACUGCCGGUGACAAACCGGAGGAAGGUGGGGAUGACGUCAAGUCCUCAUGGCCCUUAUGGGUAGGGCUUCACACGUCAUACAAUGGUACAUACAGAGGGCCGCCAACCCGGCGAGGGGG
rnacentral:rRNA from 1 species